CGGGCUGUCUAUGUCCAUUAACCC
rnacentral:siRNA from 1 species